rfam:Micromonospora echinaurantiaca strain DSM 43904 genome assembly, chromosome: I
AGCUCGUUCUUCGCGCGGAAGCUCGACCCGCGUUUGCCGUGGUAGUGGCGUUCGUCGACGAACACCGGGAGCGGUUCGGGGUCGAGCCGAUCUGCCGCGUGCUGACCGCGCACGGGGUCACGAUCGCCCCG